AGUAGGAUAGCUGGGUAAAAUGUUUGUUCUAUUCCUAGUUUUCUAAGGAAUGUCCAUACUACUAUCCAGAGUGGUUGCACCAAUUUGCAUUUCCACCAGCAAU
rnacentral:pre_miRNA from 1 species